AGGGAAUCUUCCACAAUGACGCAAGUCUGAUGGAGCAACGCCGCGUGAGUGAAGAAGGUUUUCGGACCGUAAAGCUCUGUUGUUGGUGAAGAAGGAUAGAGGUAGUAACUGGCCUUUAUUUGACGGUAAUCAACCAGAAAGUCACGGCUAACUACGUGCCAGCAGCCGCGGUAAUACGUAGGUGGCAAGCGUUGUCCGGAUUUAUUGGGCGUAAAGCGAGCGCAGGCGGAAGAAUAAGUCUGAUGUGAAAGCCCUCGGCUUAACCGAGGAAUUGCAUCGGAAACUGUU
rnacentral:rRNA from 1 species